rnacentral:lncRNA from 10 species
GUAAGGUCGCUUCUCCGAUGGGCGGAGCUACGGGGGCCGCCGAGGUCAGAAAGAACCGCGCGGAGGCGGACGCGCGUGGGGGCGUGGCUUCGCGUUUGGAGGCCCGGGGAACCGCCCCAAUGGAAGUGAAGGGGAGAUCGGCACCGGAACUGGGGCGGGGCGAAGGAGACCCUCAGCCUGCACUUUAUCUCAUUCAUGAAGUGGAGACGACACCUUGGAUCCCAUGCCCUCCCUCUGUUGCUGGACUAACUCAUGAAGCUACUACUGUGUGCUUUGCUUCUCGCAGAGGGUAGGGACGGGGUUUCACCAUGUCGGCCACGCUGGUCUGGAACUCCUGACCUCAAGUGAUCCACCCACCUCGGCCUCCCAAUGUGCUGGGAUUACAGGCGGGAGCCACCGCGCCCGGCCGGGUGUCGCUUUCUGUUUGAGACAAAACGCCCUACAGUCUCCCAUGGCCUGGGAGUGCACACGGGUAUAUGGGCAUAUGGGCCCCGUCCCCAGGCUCCACCCCUGUAAGUCACGAUUUCUCAGGAAUACCCCCCAAGUCCUGCUCCCAGCUUUCUCCCCAAGCCUCCCCACCUAUCCCCCACCCCGCACGUUGCGCGCUCACUGACUGCACCAGAACUUAGCCGGUCAGUCCAGAGGUUUAUUUUGAGCACAGGUGGGAGGGACAGGGGGAGGAGAGAAGCGCAGGGGUCGUGGCCUCAUCAGGUCCGAGGUCCAGGGAGGCGGGUCCGGUCCUGUUGGUCCUGGUCCCGAAUUGGUAGCUGGGUGUAUCUCCGGACCAUGUUGGGGGCGCACCAUCCCUGGGAGGGGUGGCUGAGGCUCAGCGAGGGAGGGGACGCUACGCGGGCCACCUCCCUUCCCAGCAGACCACUAGCCUCUUCCAUCGGUCUGCAUGCCGGGGUGAGAGUGGGAGCCGGGUCCGAAUGCUGAGUUCUCCUCGCCUAGUGCCUCUCCUCACCUAAUGCCCCUGGCUCGACCCAAAGCCCGCGCCUGCCGCGGGUGACCCACUGCCUGAGUUCGAAUCCAAGCUCCACCCAGUAUUGUGACUUUUGACAAGUUACUUAAUUCAGAGAAUGCCUCAUCAUUCUCGUCUCUAAAAUGGGGAUUAUAAUAGUGUCCGCCUAGAGGUUAAGGGGAUUAAGUUAGUUCAUAGGCGUAAAACAUUUACAACAGUGCCUGGAGGCUGGGCGCAGUGGCUCACGCCUGUAAUCUCAGCACUUUGGGAGACCGAAGCGGUAGGAUCACCUGAGGUCGGGUGUGCGAGACCAGCCUGACCAACAUGGAGAAACCCCGUCUCUACUAAAAAUACAAAAUUAGCCGGGUGUGGUGGCGCAUGCCUGUAAUCCCAGCUACUCAGGAGGCUGAGGUAGGAGAAUCGCUUGAACCCGGGAGGCAGAGGUUGCGGUGAGCCGAGAUCGCGCCAUUGCACUCCCGCCUGGGCAACAAGAGCGAAACUCCGUCUCAAAAAACAAACAAACAAACAAACAAACAAACAAAAAAACCACAGUGCCUGGCACGAACUAAGCGCUAGGAAGCGUCACUGUCAGAUCUCCUACCUCACCCAGCUCCCUCCACCUCCAUACCUACCUUCCUCACUGGGACCUCCUGGGCUGGGGACCGCUGGGCGAGGCUCUCGCGGGCGGGCCAGGGGCGUGGGGCGCUGGAAGGGAGAGGCGAGCUGCAGAAGGGCUGCUGCGCGCCACGCCAGGCUAAGGGCGGCCCCUGGGGGCUGCUGCGGGCAUCGCGGAGGCAGGCCUAGCUAGGGUUGAUCAGGCCCCGCAGGCGGGAUCGCGGCCGCCCCGGGUCCCGACGCGCGGGAUUAGACUGGGGGCCCGGCUUGGCGGAGGUCGUCGGUACCUGAGUGCGCACAGACGAGACCCAGCCCGGCGGCCAGCGCGGCGCCCAGCACGAAGGCUGCCAACACCAGCGCCACCACCGGCGCGGGUUCCAGGGCCGCGGGGGCCGGCGCGGGAGGCUCAGGGCGCACUGCACGGCCGGGGACACUCUUGGGCGGCCCUGUGGGAAGUGCCACGCUGAGACUGGGUCCAGCUCCCAGGCGUCCUUCCCACCCGCUCUGCCGCCCCACGGCCCCAUGCGGAGGAGGACUGCGUGCUCACUGGGGGGCGGCCGCGGCACGGUGACCACGAUAGGCUGCGUCAGCGUGUGCAGGUGGGGGCCGUCAGCAGCCAGGCCCUCGGCGCUGCCACUGCCAGUGUCGGCGCACGCCUCGUCCUGAGGCAGACACUGGGGGAGAGGAAGGUGGGGAAGAGACGGGGACAUCAGGGCACCGGGAUCGUGGCUCUGGUCCCCAGGGCCCCCAAGAGAGACCUGAGUCCAGCUCUCCACCACAGCCAAGAUGGGACCCCUGGAAAUCCGGCCCCUUAGGGUGCCCUGAGCCCAGCCCCUACGCAUACAAGUGGCUAGCCGCCCAGCCCCUAAGGACCCCAAAUCCCAGCCCCACAAGAUCGCAUGGUCCGCGUCUCCCAGCACCUAGCAUGUGAGGCCCAGCACCAGGUUCCCAGAAAUGUGUCCCCUUAGUGGCCUUCUGCAUCCAACCCCCAGCCCUGAAGGAUUCCAGAGCUGUCCAUGGGGGAACCCAGUGUCCACACUGUCCCCGGAGAAACUCUGUCGGCAGAGAUGGACCCUUGCGCCCCACCUCCCCCAACCCCCAGAUCCUCAGACCCCGAGAGUAUCCUCUUUCCACUGCCAGAGUCGCCCGUGCCCAGCCCCCGAAGGGCCCCAGCGCCCGGAUUCCAGGCUCUGCGCCCGCGCACCCGCGAUGGCGGCGGCGGCGGCGGCGGCGUCAGAGGCGCAGGCGCCCGGCGGACUCCCCGGAGGCGGC